rnacentral:rRNA from 1 species
GACGAACGCUGGCGGCGUGCCUAAUACAUGCAAGUAGAACGCUGAAGGAGGAGCUUGCUUCUCUGGAUGAGUUGCGAACGGGUGAGUAACGCGUAGGUAACCUGCCUGGUAGCGGGGGAUAACUAUUGGAAACGAUAGCUAAUACCGCAUAACAGUAGAUAUCGCAUGAUAUCUACUUGAAAGGUGCAAUUGCAUCACUACCAGAUGGACCUGCGUUGUAUUAGCUAGUUGGUGAGGUAACGGCUCACCAAGGCGACGAUACAUAGCCGACCUGAGAGGGUGAUCGGCCACACUGGGACUGAGACACGGCCCAGACUCCUACGGGAGGCAGCAGUAGGGAAUCUUCGGCAAUGGACGGAAGUCUGACCGAGCAACGCCGCGUGAGUGAAGAAGGUUUUCGGAUCGUAAAGCUCGGUUGUAAGAGAAGAACGAGUGUGAGAGUGGAAAAUUCACACUGUGACGGUAUCUUACCAGAAAGGGACGGCUAACUACGUG